AGUAAUUUAGUUUAAAAAACCUUAAAUUGCAAGUUUAAAAAUCUUCUUAAGAAAUCAUUA
rnacentral:tRNA from 1 species